UUAUCCGGAUUCACUGGGUUUAAAGGGUGCGUAGGUGGGUUGGUAAGUCNGUGGUGAAAUCCCCGAGCUUAACUUGGGAACUGCCAUUGAUACUAUUAGUCUUGAAUACCGUGGAGGUCAGCGGAAUAUGUCAUGUAGCGGUGAAAUGCUUAGAUAUGACAUAGAACACCAAUUGCGAAGGCAGCUGGCUACACGAAUAUUGACNCUGAGGCACGAAAGCGUGGGGAUCAAACAGGAUUAGAUACCCUGGUAGUCCACGCCCUAAACUAUGNAUACUCGACAUCNGCGAUACACUGUUGGUGUCUGAGCGAAAGCAUUAAGUAUNCCACCUGGGAAGUACGAUCGCAAGAUUGAAACUCAAAGG
rnacentral:rRNA from 1 species